GGUCCUGCCUGCCCUGUGAUAUAUAUUUAACGGCCGCGGUAUUUUGACCGUGCAAAGGUAGCGCAAUCACUUGUCCUUUAAAUGAAGACCUGUAUGAAUGGCACGACGAGGGCUUAACUGUCUCCUUUUUCCAAUCAAUGAAAUUGAUCUUCCCGUGCAGAAGCGGGAAUACAACCAUAAGACGAGAAGACCCUAUGGAGCUUUAAACAAAAAUAGAUCUUGUUAAACAUAUCUUAAUUAAAGAAGUGAACCGAAAGAAUCCUAUCAUUNAUGUUUUUGGUUGGGGCGACCGCGGGGAAACAAACAACCCCCAUGUGGACUAAGAAAACAUUUCUCACAAUAAAGAGCCACAGCUCUAAUUAACAGAAUUUCUGACCUANUAGAUCCGGCAAUGCCGAUCAACGGACCGAGUUACCCUAGGGAUAACAGCGCAAUCCUCUUUAAGAGUUCAUAUCGACAAGAGGGUUUACGACCUCGAUGUUGGAUCAGGACACCCUAAUGGUGCAGCAGCUAUUAAGGG
rnacentral:rRNA from 1 species